GUGGCUCAGUGGUAAAGAAUCUGCCUGCCAAGCAGAAGUCACGGGUUCAAUCCCCGGGUC
rnacentral:tRNA from 1 species